rnacentral:rRNA from 1 species
UUGUACGCUGGCGGCAGGCCUAACACAUGCAAGUCGAGCGGAUGAAGGGAGCUUGCUCCUGGAUUCAGCGGCGGACGGGUGAGUAAUGCCUAGGAAUCUGCCUGGUAGUGGGGGAUAACGUCCGGAAACGGGCGCUAAUACCGCAUACGUCCUGAGGGAGAAAGUGGGGGAUCUUCGGACCUCACGCUAUCAGAUGAGCCUAGGUCGGAUUAGCUAGUUGGUGGGGUAAAGGCCUACCAAGGCGACGAUCCGUAACUGGUCUGAGAGGAUGAUCAGUCACACUGGAACUGAGACACGGUCCAGACUCCUACGGGAGGCAGCAGUGGGGAAUAUUGGACAAAGGGCGAAAGCCUGAUCCAGCCAUGCCGCGUGUGUGAAGAAGGUCUUCGGAUUGUAAAGCACUUUAAGUUGGGAGGAAGGGCAGUAAGUUAAUACCUUGCUGUUUUGACGUUACCAACAGAAUAAGCACCGGCUAACUUCGUG